rnacentral:lncRNA from 1 species
UUUUAGAUAUCCUCCGCUGAAGUGAACUAUCGGCGAAUGGAUGGAAUUUUCGGUGGGGUUUCUUGGCGAUUUGAGCUAUUUUGGGGAUGUUGGUCGCUGUAAUUGGUAGUUGAACUAUCGUUAGUGACGUUUCGUGACGGCUUUGACGACAGCAGAGCUCGGAAUCACUGUAUUCGCUUCGCCGGAGCUCCGACGAUCUUAACAACUUAUAAUUCAC